rnacentral:rRNA from 1 species
UCCAGACUCCUACGGGAGGCAGCAGUCGGGAAUAUUGCGCAAUGGAGGAAACUCUGACGCAGUGACGCCGCGUAUAGGAAGAAGGUUUUCGGAUUGUAAACUAUUGUCGUGAGGGAAGAAAUUGACAGUACCUCAGGAGGAAGCUCCGGCUAACUCCGUGCCAGCAGCCGCGGUAAUACGGAGGAUGCGAGCGUUAUCCGGAUUUAUUGGGUUUAAAGGGUGCGUAGGCGGAAGGUUAAGUCAGCGGCCAAAUGUCGGGGCUCAACACCGGCCUGCCGUUGAAACUGGUCUUCUUGAGUGAGCGAGAAGUAUGCGGAAUGCGUGGUGUAGCGGUGAAAUGCAUAGAUAUCACGCAGAACUCCGAUUGCGAAGGCAGCAUACCGGCGCUCAACUGACGCUGAGGCACGAAAGCGUGGGGAUCGAACAGGAUUAGAUACCCGUGUAUCA